CAGCCGCCGCGGUAAUACGGAGGGUGCGAGCGUUAUCCGGAUUUAUUGGGUUUAAAGGGUGCGUAGGCGGACUAAUAAGUCAGUGGUGAAAUCUAGCAGCUUAACUGUAAAACUGCCAUUGAUACUGUUAGUCUAGAAUUUAGUUGAGGUAGGCGGAAUGUGUUGUGUAGCGGUGAAAUGCAUAGAUAUAACACAGAACACCGAUUGCGAAGGCAGCUUACUAGGGUAUAAUUGACGCUGAUGCACGAAAGCGUGGGUAGCGAACAGGAUUAGAUACCCUGGUAGUCCACGCCGUAAACGAUGAUUACUCGUUGUUGGCAAUACAUAGUCAGCGACUGAGCGAAAGCAUUAAGUAAUCCACCUGGGGAGUACGUUGGCAACAAUGAAACUCAAAGGAAUUGACGGGGGCCCGCACAAGCGGAGGAACAUGUGGUUUAAUUCGAUGAUACGCGAGGAACCUUACCUGGACUUAAAUGUAGAUUGACAGGUUUAGAGAUAGACUUUUCUUCGGACAAUUUACAAGGUGCUGCAUGGUUGUCGUCAGCUCGUGCCGUGAGGUGUCGGGUUAAGUCCCAUAACGAGCGCAACCCCUAUUCUUAGUUACCAGCACGUAGUGGUGGGGACUCUAGGAAGACUGCCUGGGUAACCAGAGAGGAAGGUGGGGAUGACGUCAAAUCAGCACGGCCCUUACGUCCAGGGCUACACACGUGUUACAAUGGUCGGUACAAAGGGCAGCUACAUGGCAACAUGAUGCUAAUCUUCUAAAGCCGGCCUCAGUUCGGAUCGGAGUCUGCAACUCGACUCCGUGAAGCUGGAUUCGCUAGUAAUCGCAUAUCAGCCAUGAUGCGGUGAAUACGUUCCCGGGCCUUGUACACACCGCCCGUCAAACCAUGGAAGUUGAGGGUACCUGAAGUCUGUUACCGUAAGGAGCGGCCUAGGGUAAAAUCGAUAACUAGGGUUAAGUCGUAACAAGGUAGCCGUA
rnacentral:rRNA from 1 species